rnacentral:rRNA from 1 species
GAUGAACGCUGGCGGCGUGCCUAAUACAUGCAAGUCGAGCGAACAGAUGAGGAGCUUGCUCCUCUGACGUUAGCGGCGGACGGGUGAGUAACACGUGGAUAACCUACCUAUAAGAUUGGGAUAACUUCGGGAAACCGGAGCUAAUACCGGAUAAUAUAUUGAACCGCAUGGUUCAAUAGUGAAAGACGGUUUUGCUGUCACUUAUAGAUGGAUCCGCGCCGCAUUAGCUAGUUGGUAAGGUAACGGCUUACCAAGGCGACGAUGCGUAGCCGACCUGAGAGGGUGAUCGGCCACACUGGAACUGAGACACGGUCCAGACUCCUACGGGAGGCAGCAGUAGGGAAUCUUCCGCAAUGGGCGAAAGCCUGACGGAGCAACGCCGCGUGAGUGAUGAAGGUCUUCGGAUCGUAAAACUCUGUUAUUAGGGAAGAACAAAUGUGUAAGUAACUAUGCACGUCUUGACGGUACCUAAUCAGAAAGCCACGGCUAACUACGUG